rnacentral:sRNA from 1 species
UUUUUCUUUUAAAAUUAAUAUAUUAUAUUUAUUUUGGUUAUUUUUUAUUUAAUUACUAUCGCACCCGCUGGUUUACCAGUCAUAAAACUCCCGUAAACGCACCUAUUAUCAAACGCUCAACCAGUCGUUCAAAACGCUUGAUAACGCUUGAAACCGCAACCGCCUGUUUCCGCAAACUCCCGCAACCGCAACCGCACCCGCACACUUUCUGCUUUAUGGUAAAAAAUAA